rnacentral:rRNA from 1 species
UUAAAUUGAAGAGUUUGAUCAUGGCUCAGAUUGAACGCUGGCGGCAGGCCUAACACAUGCAAGUCGAACGGUAACAGGAAGAAGCUUGCUUCUUUGCUGACGAGUGGCGGACGGGUGCGUAAUGUCUGGGACACUGCCUGAUGGAGGGGGAUAACUACUGGAAACGGUAGCUAAUAACGCAUAA